UGAAGAGGUCAUCCCAGAAUUUGGAGAAUGCUCUGUCCCCUCUGAGCUUCUGUUUGGACCUCGGUACCUCCAGGAGCAGCAGGUCAGCUGACCUGAGGCACUGAGCAGGAACAUACGGUUGAAGGAGCCCAGAGAGGCAGCCAGUAGAGGGAGGCCAGGAUGGGAGUCAUGUGCUCUCUCUUACGUGCUCCAGUUAGG